CACCUGGCUCUCCACUCAGAUAUCAUCUCCUUCAUGUCAGGGAUCACGCAUCAGUGCACAAAACUGAUCGUCAAGGUCGACACAUCUCAGAUGACCACCUCUUGCUUUGAGAGUGCCUGCAAUGAUUACGACCAACACUUCAUCACAGCAGCUCCAUAU